GCCAGGCGCGGUGGCUCACGCCUGUAAUCCCAGCACUUUGGGAGGCUGAGGCAGGUGGAUCACCUGAGGCCAGGAGUUCGAGACCAGCCUGGCCAACAUGGUGAAACCCUGUCUCUA
rnacentral:SRP_RNA from 1 species